rnacentral:rRNA from 1 species
AUUGAACGCUGGCGGCAUGCCUUACUCAUGCAAGUCGAACGGUAGAGUAGCAAUACUCGAGAGUGGCGAACGGGUGAGUAAUAUAUCGGAACGUGCCCAGUCGUGGGGGAUAACGUAGAGAAAUUUACGCUAAUACCGCAUACGAUCUACGGAUGAAAGCGGGGGAUUCGCAAGAACCYCGCGCGAUUGGAGCGGCUGAUAUCAGAUUAGGUUGUUGGUGAGGUAAAAGCUCACCAAGCCGACGAUCUGUAGCUGGUUUGAGAGAACGACCAGCCACACUGGGACUGAGACACGGCCCAGACUCCUACGGGAGGCAGCAGUGGGGAAUUUUGGACAAUGGGCGAAAGCCUGAUCCAGCAAUGCCGCGUGCAGGAAGAAGGACUUCGGGUUGUAAACUGCUUUUGUACGGAACGAAAMGGUCCUUUMUAAUAAAGAGGGCUAAUGANGGUACCGUAAGAAUAAGCACCGGCUAGCUACGUGC